UACGAAGGGGGCUAGCGUUGUUCGGAUUUACGGGGCGUAAAGCGCACGUAGGCGGAUCGAUCAGUCAGGGGUGAAAUCCCAGAGCUCAACUCUGGAACUGCCUUUGAUACUGUCGAUCUGGAGUAUGGAAGAGGUGAGUGGAAUUCCGAGUGUAGAGGUGAAAUUCGUAGAUAUUCGGAGGAACACCAGUGGCGAAGGCGGCUCACUGGUCCAUUACUGACGCUGAGGCGCGAAAGCGUGGGGAGCAAACAGG
rnacentral:rRNA from 1 species